rnacentral:rRNA from 1 species
UACGUAGGGUGCGAGCGUUGUCCGGAAUUAUUGGGCGUAAAGAGCUCGUAGGCGGUUUGUCGCGUCGGCCGUGAAAACUUGGGGCUUAACCCCAAGCCUGCGGUCGAUACGGGCAGACUUGAGUUCGGCAAGGGAGACUGGAAUUCCUGGUGUAGCGGUGAAAUGCGCAGAUAUCAGGAGGAACACCGGUGGCGAAGGCGGGUCUCUGGGCCGAUACUGACGCUGAGGAGCGAAAGCGUGGGGAGCGAACAGG